CAGUAGCAAUACUGAGUGGCAGACGGGUGAGUAACAUGUGGGAAUCUGCCUUGUGGUUCAGGACAACAUUGGGAAACCGAUGCUAAUACUGGAUAAGCCCUUACGGGGAAAGUUUUAAUGCCAUAAGAUGAGCCCGCAUUUGAUUAGUUAGUUGGUGAGGUAAUGGCUUACCAAGACAAUGAUCAAUAGCUGAUCUGAGAGGAUGAUCAGCCACACCGGGACUGAGACACGGCCCAGACUCCUACGGGAGGCAGCAGUGGGGAAUCUUGCACAAUGGAGGAAACUCUGAUGCAGCGAUGCCGCGUGAGUGAAGAAGGCCUUUGGGUUGUAAAGCUCUUUUGUAGGGGAAGAUAAUGACUGUACCCUAAGAAUAAGGUCCGGCUAACUUCGUGCCAGCAGCCGCGGUAAUACGAAGGGACCUAGCGUAGUUCGGAAUUACUGGGCGUAAAGCGCGCGUAGGCCGUUGAGUUAGUUAAUUGUGAAAUCCCAAAGCUUAACUUUGGAACUGCAAUUAAAACUGCUCGACUAGAGUUUGAUAGAGGAAAGCGGAAUACAUAGUGUAGAGGUGAAAUUCGUAGAUAUUAUGUAGAACACCAGUUGCGAAGGCGGCUUUCUGGAUCAACACUGACGCUGAGGCGCGAAAGUAUGGGUAGCAAAGAGGAUUAGAUACCCUCGUAGUCCAUACCAUAAACGAUGAUUGCUAGAUG
rnacentral:rRNA from 1 species